GGGCCUGUGGCUCAGUUGGUAGAGCGCCCGCUUAGCACAGUAAGUGCGGGAGGUCCAGGGUUCAAUUCCCUGCCGGUCCA